CUAUGCCUCGUCUCCUACUAGAUCCAACCCGAACUCUGCAGACUGGGCAAUUUAAAACGAAGGGCCCAGGGGAAAACAUUUAAUAACGUUAGAGUGAGUGGACAAAAAUAAAUUAAUAAUUAAAAUAUUUAUGUUUCCCCAAAUUAAUUUCUAAGGAAAAAUCGAAUGCCUGCCGCAAGCGAUAAAACCUUUAUCCCACUAAAAUAAUCGAGCCUCUCAGACUCUAUAAUAUAUGUAUGUAUUUACACUCGUCCAUACUCCCUAUAUAAAUUCAUGGGUCUAUAUAGGGCUACUACGCUCGCGUCCAACGCUCACGUCACGCCUUAAUGCGGUGCUACACUACGCCAUCAAGGUGGACAGACGGGUGUAUAAAUAUGUGCCCAUACCCCCUAUAUAAAUUAAACACUCAUAUAGGGCUACUACGCUUACGUCCAACGCUCACGUCACACCAUAAUGCGGCUAUAUGCUACGCCAUUAAGGUGGACAGACACAUAUGGCUAGCUAGCAUUUUCUAUACAUACUCUCUCAUAAAUACAUAUUUAUAUUUACCGAAAAUCCCAUUUUCGGUAACUCUCUCAAAGAAAUAAAAGCGUCAAAAUUAAUUGACGUCAAAACUCCAACAAAAGGAAAUGUUCAAUCAUGAACCAUAGCAUGCAUAUUAUUUCAAAUAAAAGUCCACUCACGAAUUAGGCCUAAGCCUGAUGUCAAUCUGGGGUCUCGUCUGCUCGAGCCUCUUCACGUCCUAGUUCCAAAUAUAAUAUUAAUUUCCCAACCAAUAUCCAAUAUUUAAUCAAAAUAGGCAAAAUUACCCGAGAGCCAUAAUUACGCUCAUCAUUGCCUAACUCCGAUAUUCUUACAUCGGAACAAUCCGAACUUAAAUAUCAUACUCAACAGUCGUAAAUACAACCUCCCCAAAAUACGACUUAAAUCCUACGGCCGGAUUCUACAUUAAUUAACCGCCAAAAAUACCAAACUUCGGAAAUUCACAAACCUAUCCAAAUCUCAUCCAAAAAUUCCAUAAUUCACUUCAAUAAUAUCCCCUUAAUAUUCUACAUCAAAAACCAUAAAAAUCUCCUAACCGGCGGCGGCGCCGCCGGCAGCGGCGGCCGGAGGUCAAUUCCGGCGACCUCCAAAACCUAUGAAAUUUUAACAACAUCUUCCUCUCAUCAAGCUCUACAACUUUCAUAACUAGCAAAAACACCAAUUCCAAGCCUAACUAGGGCAAUCGACUAAAAACAUCAAAAACACCAUAAAACUUCCACCUCAAAUUUCUCCUUACCUAGCUCAAGAGGGAGUGAGUCCUUUUAGGGCAAGGUUGCUGGGUUGGAGGGCUACAAAACCAUACCAAGCUUGCCCGGAUUGGUGGCCGGAGGAGGAAGUUCCGGCGAAGGGAAGCUCGGGGCAGCCCUUGCUUUCGGGCGGCACCGCUCUCUCACGGCGGCGCUAGGGCUCCUCUCACCGGUCUAGAAAUGUUGCUGGGAGGGAGACCGACCGAACGGGACCAGUCCGGCGGCGAACGGAGGUCGGACGGCGGCGGGAGGACGGCCGGAAUUCUGCUGGGUGUAGAGAGAAGAAAAUCGGGUGGGAGGAGAAGAAAAAUCGGGAGGGAGGGAGAAGAGAAAGAAGAAGAAAUGGGUUGGGCUCGGCCCAGCCGACCCAACACCCCUUUUAACCCAUAAUUCCAAAAUUCAACACCCCGAAAAAUAAUACCCAAAUAAAAAUUACCUUUUACUAGCUAAAAUUUACUAUUUUUACCGUCGUCGUAUUUUCCUCAUACGAAUAAUCCUCCGCACAUAAUCGUCCCCGAAACCCCUCUAGGGACCAAUUAAACUAUUUACUCAAUUAUCGAGACGGUAAAAUUCUUAUUAUAAUCACGCUAGUAAAUAAGGUAAAAAUAUAAGGGUCGGGAUGUGACAUAGAAUAUAUGUUAGUUCUCAAAAAUUCUGCAACAACUUUAGAAUCAUUAGUUCUGGUGGCUUUUGCCUCCACCCACUUAGAAACAUAAUCAACAGCCAAUAAAAUGUAAAAGAAUCCCUUAGAAGAAGGAAAAGGUCCCAUGAAAUCAAUUCCCCAAACAUCAAAAAUUUCGACAACAAUAAUAGGGGUUAGGGGCAUUUGAUCUCGCUUACUUAAAUUACCUGUUCGUUGGCAACGAUCACACGUCAAGCAAGUCGUAUAUGCAUCUUUGAAAAUCGUUGGCC
rnacentral:lncRNA from 1 species